GAUGAACGCUGGCGGCGUGCCUAAUACAUGCAAGUCGAGCGGACGGACGAGAAGCUUGCUUCUCUGAUGUUAGCGGCGGACGGGUGAGUAACACGUGUAUAACCUCCCUGUAAGACUGGGAUAACUUGGGGAAACCGGAUCUAAUACCGUAUAAUCUUUUGAACCGCAUGGUUCAAAAGUGAAUGACGGUCUUUCUGUCACUUAUAGAUGGUUCCGCGCUUCAUUGGCUAGUUGGUAGGGUAACGGCUUACCAAGGCAACGGUGCAUAGCCGACCUGGGGGGGGGUUCGGCCACACUGGAACUGAGACGCGGUCCAGGCUCUGAGGGGAGGCACAGGUUGGUAAUCUUCCGCAAUGGGCGAAAGCCUGCAGGAGCAACGCCGCGUGGGUGCAGAAGCGCUUCGGAUGGUAAAACUCUGUUAUUAGGGAAGAACAUAUGUGUAAGUAACUGUGCACAUCUGGACGUAACCGAUAAAGAAAGCCCCGCUUACCUCCUG
rnacentral:rRNA from 1 species